AGAGUUUGAUCAUGGCUCAGGACGAACGCUGGCGGCGUGCUUAAUACAUGCAAGUCGAACGGAGUUAAGGGUUUCGGCCUUUAACUUAGUGGCGAACGGGUGAGUAACGCGUGAAUAACCUGACUCAAAGAGGGGGAUAACAACGGGAAACUGUUGCUAAUACCGCAUGAGACCACAACACCGCAUGAUGAAGGGGUCAAAGAUUUAUCGCUUUGAGAGGGGUUCGCGUCCCAUUAGGUAGUUGGAGGGGUAACGGCCCACCAAGCCAACGAUGGGUAGCCGAGCUGAGAGGCUGAUCGGCCACACUGGAACUGAGACACGGUCCAGACUCCUACGGGAGGCA
rnacentral:rRNA from 1 species